ACUCAAAGGAAUAGACGGGGGCCCGCACAAGCAGUGGAGUAUGUGGUUUAAUUCGACGCAACGCGAAGAACCUUACCAGGGCUUGACAUCCUCUGACGGCUGUAGAGAUACAGCUUCUCUUCGGAGCAGAGAGACAGGUGGUGCAUGGUUGUCGUCAGCUCGUGUCGUGAGAUGUUGGGUUAAGUCCCGCAACGAGCGCAACCCUUAUUGCCAGUUGCCAGCAUUCAGUUGGGCACUCUGGCGAGACUGCCGUGGAUAACACGGAGGAAGGUGGGGACGACGUCAAAUCAUCAUGCCCCUUAUGUCCUGGGCUACACACGUACUACAAUGGCAACAACAGAAAGCAGCGAAACCGCGAGGUGAAGCGAAUCUCCAAAUGUUGUCUCAGUUCAGAUUGCAGGCUGCAACUCGCCUGCAUGAAGUCGGAAUUGCUAGUAAUGGCAGGUCAGCAUACUGCCGUGAAUACGUUCCCGGGCCUUGCACACACCGCCCGU
rnacentral:rRNA from 1 species